rnacentral:rRNA from 1 species
ACUCAAAGGAAUUGACGGGGGCCCGCACAAGCGGUGGAGCAUGUGGUUUAAUUCGACGCUACGCGCAGAACCUUACCUGGGCUAAAUCCAUUUGAAGUCGGCCGAAAGGUUGAUGUGCCCUUCGGGGAAUAAAUGAGAAGGUGCUGCAUGGCUGUCGUCAGCUCGUGUCGUGAGAUGUUGGGUUAAGUCCCGCAACGAGCGCAACCCUUAUCGUCUGUUGCCAGCAUUGAGUUGGGAACUCAGGCGAGACUGCCGGCCAAAACCGGAGGAAGGUGGGGAUGACGUCAAGUCCUCAUGGCCCUUAUGUCCAGGGCUACACACGUGCUACAAUGGCGAGUACAAAGAGUUGCAAGACCGCGAGGUGGAGCUAAUCUCAAAAAACUCGUCUCAGUUCGGAUUGAAGUCUGCAACUCGACUUCAUGAAGCUGGAAUCGCUAGUAAUCGGAGAUCAGCACGCUCCGGUGAAUACGUUCCCGGGCCUUGCACACACCGCCCGU